GGAAGGUAGUGCCCAAUGGUGGGCAACCGGUCCCGAAAACCGGGCUGUCUUUGGACAGGGGUUCGAUUCCUCUACCUUCCGCCA
rnacentral:tRNA from 1 species